CUUCUGCAGCCUCAUCUCUGCCACUCUUCACCUUUUGUGCUCCAACCCAAUCUGGUUUUCUUCUCAUGCUUUGAACACCCCAAGUCUGUCUGCUUCAGGAGCUUCAUACUGGCUAAUCAUUCACCGUAGCAUACUCCCAUCUAUAGGGCUGGCUCUUAUAUUAUGGGUCUCAGCUAAAAUGUCAUCCCUUCAAAGAGAGCUUCUUGGACCACCCCAGCCAUUCUCUAUCCUAUUUCCCUCUUUUAUUUUCUUUGAAGCACUUACCCACUUUCAGAAACUAUCUGGCUUACUCAUGUGUUUGUCUCUAGAUUGUCUACUUCCCCUGCUAGACUGUACUCUCCCCAAGAGGGCAAAGCUGUGUCUGUUGCAUUCACUGUUGUCUUCCCAGAAGUAAACAGCAUGCUGGAGACCCUCAAAUACAUGUGAAAUGAAGGGACACCUUGUGUUAUUUCACCUGUUUCCACCUGGUUCCCAAGUGGCAAGCUUGCAUUGUGGUUGCAAAGUGGCAAAGCUGGGAUAUCACAUGAUGUCACCAUGAUGCUAUAUGAAAUGUAACAUUAAUUGAGUACCUAUGUGACCAGUUCUUUAAUUCUGUAAUUGAACUCUGAAAAAACCCUAGGUAAGUAUUAUCAACUCCAACUUUAACAGAUGAGGAAACUGUAAUUUUUUAAAAAAUGACUUAACCAAACAUCACAGAGCUGUAAACCAGGAUUUGAAUGGGUGAACUGCACUCAGCCUUCAUCUCAAGUCAGUUUGCCUCUUACUCCAAGAAGCCACGGUUGAUCCUGACUACAUCACAUAUGGGUUGCCUGGAUUGUAGUCAUUCAUUCACUAAGCGUCUUUUAGGAGGUCACAUGCCAGGCACCGUGUUAGGUAAUGAUUUCUCUGAGUCACAGGAGCCGUGGUUCUGACUUUAGAAAGUUUCUCAUCUGAUGCGAGGGCAGGAAAGUAAAUAAAUCAGUGAGGGUGGUCCUUGUUGGGACACUCUGGUUGAGAAAUACCCAAAGUGCAAAGUGACAGGGACUAGAGGCAUCUCCAUUGGACCAGACAGCUCUGGAUUCGUCUUGAGCUAGGUCUCUGGAGGUAGGUGUCAGCUACAAGGAGAAAAGCAGCAUAUUUUGAGAUAUGGGAUGCAGGGCCUUUUAGUUCCGUAAAUUCGAGAACCAUAGUGUGAAUACCACAUGCCCUGGGCUGACCUAAGUGGGCUCUGGGGGAAGGUAUACUGGGCAGGGAGUUUGGAGAACUGGUUUCUGUCUAAUCCUUCUCUAACUCUGUGACCUUGAAUGCAUCACCUCCCCUCUGAGUCUCAGAUUCUCUUUCUGGCUGGCAUUUAGUGAAACCUAAAUAUUCUAGACCUUCUACUUGUUCCAUAAGUGCUCAGUCCUACACUCACUGUCCUCUGGCACCAAUAUACUGAUUACUCAUUUUAUGCCCAGCAGAGCACCACGUGUUUUGAAAUAUACAAAUAGUGGGAAAUGAAAUCUUUGUUCUGGAUGCAGUUAUAAUUUGGAAAGUGAGGAAAUAAAUUAUAACAAGGGGAAAAAACAGACACAGAGGGAUUGAAACGCAUAACAAUAGAGAUGAAACACGAAGAGUGACAAAUGAAGAUUGAGUGUGCACACCUUCUGGAGGAGCCCUGAUUGAGUAUUUUAACACAGAAGUGAGUGAGAGAAAAGUUGUGUCAGAGUAGGACAAUGAUACCAAGCCAGAUGGUUAUCAAAAUCCACAGGAACAAAUGAAGAGAACCAGAAAUUGCAAAUAAGGACAGAGUACCAGAGAGGAGAGAGAUGUACAGAGAAUUAUGGAGGUGGCUUACCUUGAAUAUGCAGCUAAGUAAUGAUUAAUGCAUACAUACAAGAAACUACUGGAAGACAGAGAAAGAACCACAAGCAAUUAAAGAAUACUACUAAAGUCAUGCUGUGUGACUUCUGAAGCUAGCUCCUAAGAAGUCCUUGCAGCUUCUGCCUGCGACUCUUAGAACACUUGCUUUGAAGGACUCCAGAAGCUGUGUUGAAAGUCUGAGCACUCUGAAACCACCAUGCUGUGAGGAAGCCCAAGCUAACCACAUGGGCAAAAAAGAUGCCCUCUGACUGCCACCAUUUGAGACACUCUAAUUUAGAACUGCCUCAUUGAGCCCAUGAGGCCCUGUGAAUGAUAAUAAUAAAUUGUUUUUAACCAC
rnacentral:lncRNA from 1 species